AGAGAGAGAGAGAGAGAGAGAGAGAGAGAGAGAAGAGAAGAGACAACGAUGGCCGCCGUAGCUUCAAACGACGCCGUUUCAGGAGGCCGGCCGGGGUGUGUUACUAGCCACGUCAUCGGAGGGAGCCUGGAGAGCUACAGGUACUACAUGUCUCGCCGUACGGUGUUGGAGAUGCUCAGCGACCGUGGCUACAGCGUCCCCGAGUCCGAGCUGACUCGCUCACUCAGUGAGUUCCAGGACGCGUUCGGUCAGAACCCUGACCCCGAACGCCUCUCCAUCUGCGCCUCUCUCCGCUCCAAUUCCAAGAACAAGAUUGUGGUCAUCUUCUGUGGGACUGAAGAAAUCAGAAAAGCGAGUGCUCGUGCUAUUUAUGCUAACCUGAUGAACAAAGAUAUAAGCUCUCUCAUGCUUGUGCUGCAAACUAAAAUUAACUGCUUUGCUCGAAAGGAAUUGGAAACCUAUCCUUACAAAGUUGAAACUUUCCAUAUUUCUGAACUGCUGGUCAAUGUUACAAAGCAUGUUUUACAUCCCAAGUAUGAGAUACUUACUGCUCAAGAAAAGAAAAAUCUGCUCAGCAAGUACAAGUUGGAAGACAAGAAGCUCCCUCUCAUGCUGGAAACUGAUGCAUUUGCACGCUACUAUGGCUUGGAGAAAGGACAGGUGGUAAAGAUUACUUACCGUGGUGGAGCUGUUGGUGCCCUCAGAACCUACCGUUGCAUUGUCUGAUCCUCCUAAAAGAUACAAUGUGUGCCACUCUAUGGAGUGAUGGCUUACAAGAAAGAGGUUAACAUCUUAGAUAGGGUUUUCAACAGAUACAACAACAGGUUUUGAUUUAAGGGAGCUGUAGUUUGUGGUUUCAGUUAACAAGUUUGAAGAUCAUAUUGCUAUUUGUAGCACUUACACUUUGUGGGUCUUGCUUUUGAGUCUUGAAUGACAUGUUGUAAGGGAUAAUAGAGAAGGGUAGAGCCUCUACAUAAUGAUGACAUGAACGCGGGAUACGAAGUCAAGUAAUUUGAUGCAAUAUAUGAUGCUAGUGUUGCAACACUGAUUAGGAAUAUAUGUAGUUUGCCUUGCUCUACUAAUCUACCAGUGGCCAUUGACUAUAAUCAUGACUACCAUCUUUUUUCUAUGUCUGAUCAUUUUGAGACAAUAGUAUAAAAGAGCCUGAAGGUAUAUUGGGGCACAAUUAACUGAAUAACAGCCUAGAGCUGCCGGGCAACUUAAGAAGCGAAACCCUAGUUUGAUAAUCCCAUGGAUUUCAGCAAUGUGAUAUCUCUUAAAAAGGAUAUGGCGCUUCCUCACCUGAAGUUUCCAAGUGGCUUUCAAGUCCUUCAAUGAAAUAAUGUGCCAUAUAAGACGUGAAAAAUUGCUGGAGAUUUGGUUUGGUGAGGCUUUUCUCUAUGCUU